rnacentral:SRP_RNA from 1 species
UCGUGCUAGACGGGGAGCUAGCGGUGCCCUGAACCUGCAAUCCGCUACAGCAGGGUUUAAUUCCGGUUUGAGGCUCUUGUCUGGUGGGACUACUUUGGCCAAGCGGUGUUGAAGGCUGGGUCUUGCGCGGCGGAAGGCUAUGAACCCCGUCAGGUCCGAGAGGAAGCAGCGGUAAAUAGUAUUUUCCGGGUGCCGCAGGGUUGCCUGGCUGGAGCUGGCUGGCUCAAGCAAGCUAUUGGGCAGGGUCGAGGGCAGGUGCACGA